AUAAAAACAAUGAUGACCAAUGCCCGAAAUGUGAAAAACAAGCAAAUCAACACUCAACAUGCCAACUGUCAAAAUGAAAGCAUCAACACUAAUAAGUCAGCAAUCUGUCAGGCCCUGCCAUCAUGGAAGAUGUUGAACCUAAAGUCCAAAAGAUAUAUGAAAGCACAACCAAGGUGAUCGAGGACUGAUCUACAUCUCCUCAUAAUCGAGAAAGGGGUGAGGUCAUGUGCCAUGGUAAGAUGUGAAGGAUAAAAGAAGGUGAUGGUCAGGCUCCGGUAUGAGAGAAGGUAUGAAAGUAUCCAUGGUGAAACGUCUGAGUAUGAAAUGAAAGGUAGGGAGAUAUCCGAGAUCAUCCAAGUAUGCCGAGAAGACUAAACCCAAGGUGUCGAUAACUCCAUAACCCAUCGUAAGUAGCAAUCACAAACAGGAAGUCAAGCCUCAAUGUCAAAACCUCCAACAAGGUGGCUAUGCCCCAGUAUGCAAUGAGGACAACAUGAAAUAAUCCAAUGAUCUCCCUAUCACUCGUCAGGUGCUCCAAUGUCAAGAACCAAUAUGAUCUCCCUCCAAAAGAUGGACAUGCCCCAAUGUAAAGGAUCCAAAUAGGGUGGCUAUGCUCCAAUGAAAAAUGCUCUCCGUCCCGGCUAUGCCCCAGUGUAAAGUAGUGUAUCCGAGUCAGCAAAUCAAUCAACCUCUACUCCCGGUGCCAAAACGGAAACAUCUCAACAUAAUCCAUAUGAAUCAGAAUCCCCGGGCUCCAUGAAUGUGAAUGCGGUGGCUAUGCCCCAGUAUAAACCAACUGAAGUGACUAUGCUCCAAUGACCAAUCAAAGUCCAUCACCAAUGAGAGGGCUACGCCUCAAAUAAAAUCGUCAUCUCAAAAACCAACCAUCGAUGAGUAGAGUGUGUCCCAAUGCAGAGUAUCGAGUAGAGCGACCGUAUCUCCAAUAAAAACGCCCUCUGAAAUGGCUAUGCCCCAGUAUAGGGUCAUCCCACAACUCCUGAUCCAUCGUAAUCCAAGUGAAGAAGCGAACUGACUAUGCCUCAGUGCAAGGCACCAUCCAGAAAGAAAAUGUCAUCAAUGAGCGGGGUAUGCCCCAGUGUAGAUAACGUCGCCUCUGAAAGUCCAUCACCGAUAAGAGGGGUAUGCCCCAGUGUAAAUCAUCAUCUCAACUCCACAUCCAUAAUGCUCUGAGAGAUAAUCACCGACCAAGCUCGAGUAUUGCCCAUGUGUGAGCCGUCAAACACAAUGUGAAGUAAUGGCCUCAGGGUGGUCUUCAGACAUGGGACGUAACGUAGGGCAAGGUAAUAGGGUGAAAGAAACGAAAGGAAACUAGGCUAAAAAAUCCCAAUGAUACAAUCCCCAUACCCCUCGUGCAUGAUAUGCAAUGCGCAGAAAAUGUCAUGAGUCCCGGACCUAGGGGUCCCCACACGAAAAGUGAUGAUAAAUGAAUGGAUACAUCGAAUAAGCAAGAAUAAAGUGUGGAUGCUGAACCCAUGUCAAACAUCAAACAGAAUGAGAAUAGAAUGAGAUAAGAUGAAAUGGAGUGAAACGGAGGGAUAAAAUAAAGAUGAAAGAAGGCGAAGAGAUAGAAAAAUGAGUGAUGGUCAACCUGCAUCAAAGCAUGGAAAGUAGUCACAUCCGAAAUAGACGGAAUGAUGGAUAGAGCAAGGAUCCAGAGAUACAGAAGAAAAGUCGCUCGCAUCUCUCACAAAAAACGAAUGGGCGAAUCAUACUCUCACCCAAAAUAUACAUCAAGAUGAAUCUAAAAAAUAAGCUUUCAUACGAGCUCUCUCUAUCAUAUGAACUCAAUGAAACAACUUGGCACGUCCAUACACAUGCCUGAUGAAGAAUGAUACAAUGAAUAAUGCGCUAUCAUCAAUCAAUUUUUUUAUUUUUUUAUUUUAUUAUUUUUUUAUUUUUUAUUUUUUUUUUAUUUUUUUAUUUUUUUUAUUUUUAUUUUUUUUUUAUUUUUUUAUUUUUUUUAUUUUUUAUUUUUUUUUAUUUUUUUGCGCGUACGCUGAUCAAUAGUGAAUGAACUCCCAUGAAAAUACAUACCCAAAUGAAUAAACUCUCUCCAUGUACUGAUGUAACAUGAAUCCUCACUAACAAGACAACCUCUCAAAUAAGAUCCCUGGACCAUUGCCCAUAAGGCGAACGGGGGAGGAACGUGACAAUCCUCCAUGCAGUGACGUGUGAAAAACCACCACUCAAGGUGAAACACGGAUAAUGUCGAGUAAGCGAUGAUGAAAGAAAAGACAGAGAACGAAUAUCACAAGUGGUGAUAUAUGAUAUAAGAAAAAUAGUGAUGAAAUGAUGUCCAAGUGGAAAAUAUCACAGUGAAAAGUGAAGAAUGAUGCCUGAAUAUGUAUGUCAGGUUUGGAACUCAUGACGUAUCCAAUCAUAGCAUGCAAGCGCUACAGGGUCCCUAACCCGGUGUAAUAGGUAAAUGAGGUGAUGAAAGAAAAGGCUAUGUGCUCGUGUGAAGCUCAAAGGGCUAGCAAUGGAUAACUCUAUAUGUGAGGGUGAUAAAGUAAAUAGGCUCAUGAAAUGAUGGCCACCCAUCCUUUAACCACAACCUCGAACAUCGUGCUUUUGAGAUCUCACAUGGUCAAUACUAAAGACUGGCAUCCAUCCAACAUAGUCAUGGCGACUCAUCUGAAAUCGCGUAAAAGCCCUCACUGAUGCUCUGUGAUAACCGUCAAUAUCCUCGGAUAAUCACCUCACUCUAUCAUCAUAAUCCACUCACCAUCGUCUCAUAAAAUCACCAUCUCUAAUCAUCCCGACUCUCUGAAGUCAUGUGCAAUGACUCAAAUCUGGAUGCUCCAUGACGUCUCCUCUACCUCAACAACAUCGUCAAACAAUCAAGCCACUCUCUCAUCAUGAUCCAUCUAUCAUCGUGUAAAGCUCACCUCGGGUCUAACCAUCUCGGACUCUACCUGGUCAGAUCCAUGAAAUGAUGGAAAGGAUAGGCAAUGGUACUGUAGCCUGAUAAGGCGAACAGGGAUGGUAAAGUCGUACAGUAAUACCAAAGGGUGGUGUCAUGUCAGGCUCAAAAUGGGUAGGUCAUCAAGUCUGAAAAGGCUAAGGUAUGGAUGUGGGUAUGGUACCACUCUAAUCAGAAGGUGAAAUGGGUCACAGCCUCAAACUCCCUAGGUCGAUCUCCUGAUCCUAGGUCAAUAGACUCAAUAUCCUCCAUGAUAGGUCAGACCCAAGUGAUCGUGAUGUAAGUGAAAGAUGUAUCAUAUCGAAAGCAUAACACGCAUCAACGCAAGAUAUGUAAAACACACUCCCGAGAAAAAUGCCACAAUACUCAAGAUAAAAUAUCAUAUCACUAAAUGAACCAACGAGUACAUCAUGUGUGAAAUGGUAAAGGACUACAAACAACUGGACUCUCAACAUGAAACUAAAAACAAUGACCCUAAACCGAAAACAGGACUCAACAAAACAAAAACAACUCUGAUGAACUGAAAACUGGACUCAACAAAAUGGAAAUGAGUCUGAUGAUGACCAUAAUCAAAAUGAGAAAUGCUCUGAACUGAACUGCUACCAAGUGAUGUACCCAUGUCGACUGACCUAAGUCCUCAUCCUGGAAGAUCCCAGAGCGCCAUAUGCCAACAGUACCAUCAACAUCCAAAUCGGUCUACUGAAGACCAGGAGGAGGAGGAACUGCAUGUGUAGAAUGUGUAGGCAGGGGAUUGGUGGUCACACUUGGCCUAGCCAAGUCAACCACCCCUGAAUCGAUCAAAUCCUGUAUCGCAUGAUGGAGUGCUGAACAACGCUCAGUAUCGUGCCCCGGAAUCUGAUGAUACAAGCAAUGCUCAUGUAAACGGAAAUGAGGAGGAAUAGGAUGGGGCAAAGGCCUCGGUGCCAAAGGAACAAUCACUCCAGCGUCUCUGAGCUUCUCAAAAGCUCUAGUCAAAGUCAUACCCAACGGAGUAAACUGUCUCGCGGGCCUCUGUGCAUAUGGCCUAGGUAGCGGGUGAGUAGUGGCUCUCGGAUGUGGUGGUCGCGGCUGCACGCUAGUCUGAGCAAUGUAAGGCUCCUGAGCAUAAUCCAACUGAUACUGAUACUGUGGAAGAGAGAAAGGAGCUCUGACUGUAGGAGGCCUAUAAGCUGAGUGAAGCGCGGGCCUCCGGUGCUGAUAGCUAAUAACACCAACCUCUCCAGAUCUACCCAAUGGUCCAAUCAGCUUCUUCCCCUUACUGUCAGGGGAAGAAGUAGUAUCUGUCCAUAAUCCUCGAGCAAUGGCCUCCUCAACACUGAAAGCUGCCUGAACCAAACUCCUGAGAUCCUGAAAUGGGAUGCCCACAAGACGUCUCGCGAACCUCGGCUGUAGGUUCCGAAGAACCAUAUCAAUCUGAUCCUGCUCCUUAGGCCGGUCUACCAUACCAGCCACCUUUGCCCUCCAACGAGUGACAAAUGAAGAAAUAGACUCCUCUGGCCUCUGUCUAGUGGCCUCCAACUCUCGUCUGGAUACAUCAAUAUCGGCACUGAAAGCGAACUGAGUCAGGAACUCACGAGCCACGUCUUCCCAGGUGCGGAGUCUCGAAGGCUCAACUGAAGCAAACCAUCUCUGAGCUGCUCCACUAAGUGACAUCGGGAAGAGGGCCACCAACUGCGCAUCAUCUAUACCAUGUGCUCUCAUGACCGUGCUGUAUAGCCUCAAGUGGAUCUUGGGACAACCAAUCCCACUGUAACGCUCAAUGUCUGGCAUGCGAAACUUGGCGGGCAAGCUAGCCGCCGGUAUGCCAUCCCUGUCAUCCCAAGUCAAACCUCCGUCCUGCAAUCUGAUCUGUCUCAUCAUGGACUCAAGCCUCUCAACCUUGGCCUCCUGCUCGGCCAAUCGAGUAUCCUCAAUAGUAGGAACCAUGGGAGGCGGCACUGUGACAGUAGGUGGUGGAAUGGUCUCAUAAUGAUCUGCCAGAUGGAACGGAGUACCAAGUGAAACCCUAGGUGGACGAGUCUGUGCUGUCUGAGAUGCAUGAGGAACUGUCUCAUCAAUGACCAUGCCAACCGGCUGGGGAUCCUGGCGAGAACUCUCUAUCUGAUCCAAGCGCUUACUGACUCCGGCCAUGAACUCCUGAAUGGAAGCGAGUGUGGAAGCUAGCUCGUCUGACAUCUCAACUGAACUGUCUGAACUCAAAUAUGAAUCUGAUCUGAUCAAUCGUCCUCCAACUCUCCUCCAAGAAUGUGACUCCAGACUCAACCGACUCCUAAACUGACUUCCUACAAUGCAAACAAGAUGGAUGAAGGACAUGAGAUGAAACUCUAAAAGACGACAGUACAACAUACAAGCACAUGGUCCAGAGGUAGCAAUCAGAAAUCUGGAUAUAUGACGAGAACUCUGGAGUCAUAAAGGUGUCCACUGUGAGAUGGCUACAAAUGUGACUAGAGAAUUCCUAUCAAUAAUCCAAGAUGAAAGAGGUGUGAAAAACACACUAUCACGAGAUCGGUACUCCAUCAAUAAACAUAUACCUUUAACUCAACUUCCAACCCAAGCUCCAUAAGAGAAAAAAUGAUAGGGUGAUCAAGGCGAAUCUCUCGAAAAAAGUGUGGAUGUGAAAAUGCGCCUUUCACCUUUCCGUAAUGAAAAUAUGAGCAUCGGGUUGAAAAUUGAAUCAAGUAUCCAACGAAGAAAUGAAGUACUCAGCCCGUGAUAGGUGUACAAUGCAAAAACAAGAUGAUCAAUGAACAUAUCCCAAAGUAUCAAGUGAGUGACAACAAAGUGAAGGGGUGUGUCGAGCCAAGAAAUGAGAACGAAAUCCCUAGGGAGAAAACAUGCUAAACUCCUUGAGUAAAAAAACAUAAUCUAAGGUGACAAGGCGAAAGGUGAUCCAACCGAUACUCAAACAAAUAACGAUCUCCGAGUACUCUCAACUGGAGACUAAAAAGAGGGAAUACUGGAUCCGAACUGUAACUAAAGAGGCUCCGAAGGCCCUCAGAUGCACCCACGUGUGAGGAAGGAAGUCCUACUCGAAGGAUCUACGGCUCAACCUACGAGGUCAGGUGGCUCUAAAUGGAUAUGGGUGGACUUUAAAAAAAUCCCGAGCAGAAGCGAUCAUACCCUCCAGCGGUACGCAACCCUCUGCACACCUCAGAAAAGACGGGGCGCUUCCAUGCAAGGUGGACAUCGCAUCCACACAUGCACUACCUCGACAUCCCAAGGGGUUUCCUAUGGUGAAUUCUCUCAAACUCUCAACGCUCAAUAGUCAACUAGAGUGCACAGUAAUCGGUGUGGGUGCAUCCGAAACCCUAAGAAGAUAAAGCAGAAGAUGAGACACACUGGUCGCAUAAAUAUCCAUGAAACCUAGCUCGGGGCUAUACAGGUCUUCAAUGAUCGGACUCUAAUCGACAACAAUGCGCCGCUCGCCUCCAGAAUGCUCCCAAACAUCAGUAUAGCCCGUCGCUGGACCCUACUCCUAACCUCUAUCUCGGUCAGAGUACAAGCACACACAAGGCCUCACACUUGCAAAAGUGAGAACCGUAAUGAAGGAAGUGACCGAGACUAGAGGGUGGGAGACAAGGAGAUAGAUAUGCGACCCACAUAAACAAACGGCACACAAUCAUGCAAAAGGAGGGCAGUCAUGCGACACGCAAUCAAACAAAUCUCAGAUAUAUCAUCAAUGUACACACACAAAAUAAGCGAGAAUACGACGAUCAGAUGAAUAAUGAUACAAAGACAACACGCUUAAAGAUGAUCAAAAUAAUAUACCAACAAGUGGAUCAGCAUGUCGAGUCGAAUGAUAUACAGUGGUGAGUGUAUGCAUGUGAAGUGAUUAGAACAAUCAUGGCAAAAUCAGAGUAAAUGUGCUAAGCAAUGCAAUAUGAUCAAUCAAUAUAAAUCAGCAAUGUCGAUGUAGCAAACAUAUAUAAUCAGUGAAGCACGAAAAAUCACGGCCUCAGAAGCCUCAAUCAGGAUAAAAUCAAUCAUCAUAAUCAACAUGUCAAAAGUCUCGAACAGAUAUAAAAUCCGAGUAUACAUCAAAUAUCCUCAAUGUGCAAUCAAGAAAUGGGUACCCAUUGAUCGUCCAAUCGAAUGCCACGUUUGCUUCAUUCUAAGUUCAAGCUUGACCCUCUAAAAAAAAUCCCCAGUGGAGUCGCCAUUUUGUGGACCCCGCGUUUCGAUCUAUCUCAAUGCGUUUCCCACUCAAUGGCGAGCUCGAUUUUUAUUUUAUUAGAAAAAAUGAUUUUUAUCGAUUAAGAAAAUGACUUGGAGUCGCCACUUAUUUUUGUUUUAUUAUUAAAGGGUAAACAAAAUAAGAAAGAAAAACCCUAAGUGUGACUCCUUAUUUUGGAAAAGGCGGUCUGUGAAAAACCGGAUCGGGUUCGGGGGUCAGGUUACUUCUCGGGAAGGUAUGGUAAAGACCGUAGCACCCCUCUAAGUCCCUAAAGUCGGGUCUCUACUAAUAAAAUGAAGCUGACAUGGCAACCAAUGAGAAAGUCAAUGAAUACCUAGGACGAAUCAUGCACAUACGAGAAUUAAAACAUGCAAAUAAAAUGACUAGGAUGCGAGUGGAUGUGUACCUGGACCGUGAACGAUCAAUGCGCUAUCAUAAAACAGGGUUAGUGAGCAAUGAACAAAAUAUAAUUAAGCGCAUAACAUGGAACAAAAUAAAUCAAACACGCACGAUAAGUAAAUCAAUCAAAACAAUCAAUCAAUCGUCAAUUCACAUAUGUGGGGGCCCCACCAAAGCCCGUUUAUUUUUGCAUGAAUNNNNNNNNNNNNNNNNNNNNNNNNNNNNNNNNNNNNNNNNNNNNNNNNNNNNNNNNNNNNNNNNNNNNNNNNNNNNNNNNNNNNNNNNNNNNNNNNNNNNGGAAAAUGGGAGGUUUUAGGCCUUAAAAAUAAAUCUAAGGAUGAAAUUCGAAAGGCAAAAAUUGUUGAAAGGAUUUGGAAAUUGGCCAUUAUAAAAAAAAAACCAUUGGAGGGAUUAUUAUUAAAAGAUGUUUCAGGAAAAUUAAUUUGAAAAUCAUAGGAACAGGAAGUGGGUGAUUAACACGUGGCUUCCGAUUUACUGCCAUUGCCACUAUACCCACCAUAGUCACCAAGCCCAUAGUCAAUGCCUCCAAGUGCUCGGUAGGAAAUAGGCCCAAAACACUAAGACGUGCCCCAGAGUUAGAGAAGAUGCUGGAGAGAUCUUUGAUCAAGCCACUUCACCAGAUUUAUGGCGAUAGAUCUUUCCGAAGACAUGAAGAACGGUGACAAAGCCGAUAAAGCAAAGGUUCAACACGAGAACCACCGUUGGAGUAAUCUUCAAGCCCGGAUCGUCAUCGGUGUAGAACAAGAGCAUGUUGCUCUCGCUGCUGCCACUGCCGCACCCUCCGGAGCUCUAAAACGACAGUGCGUGUGAGGAGAUUGACAACGACACCGUCGAAGACAACCGGUCUACAUAACCCUCCAACAAGCUUCGUCCUGAAGCUACUUCCGCCGCGGUGCUUUCCACAUGUCGUCCAUACAUCCAGUGACCCGAAUCAGCGCCACCUCGUCCUCAACUCCAACGCAGCUGAAUCUCACGCUGCUGUCCAGUUUGACCUGCGUCGGAAAGAACGACGUUGGGGGCCACGCAGGCAUCGACGGUGAUCUUCGGGAGCCACUGCCCCAGGGGAAUUAUCCUUCUCCGUCCUUUUUUUGAGCCUUCAACACUUUCUACAGCAAAAGUCUCCUCAACUUUUGAUGGCCCCCACAUGUACCAGUUGAGGCUAUUUAUGAAUUUCAUGGUUCAGAUUUGCAUCCAUCUUAUCUGAUUAUUCAAUCUGUUCUAGCUUGACAACGUCCAGAUUAAGCGUCCACUUAUUGUCUUCUGAUGAGUCAAGCUAUAAUAACCAGAUUUCUUUGUCGAUGUCUAUUGAUUCGGAUACCUUCAGCACAACAGAUCAGAAAAACUUGUUGCCUCAACUAUAACCUCAGUGUAGCUGGAGGCUCAUAAUCCUGCAGCUUAUUGAAAAAAAGAUCCAGUGACUAAUCGAAAAACCUGCCCAUCAUAGGUCCGACCAGUUCUUCCUCUAAGCUACUCAACCUGAGACUUGGAGACAUAGGCAAGCUCUGGAGCUUCCUUUUUCCGAUUACUGGAAGCUCACAGAGUGACCUUCCUCAUUUCUUCAUUCUACAACAGCGAACUCUCUUUCUCAAAAGCACCCCAAUCCAAACGGCCAAAUUCAAAACAAGAUGUCCAAUACUCCAAAAGAACACCAAAAAAACAGAGAAGAAAGUGAAGAAAACAGAGUGCGUGCAAGAGAUGAUAAUACCAUUAAACCAAACUUUACUUCAUGAAGAUCGGAGAGCUUAAAACAAUCUGGUGGGUUAAGUGAAUGGUUUUAACACAUAAACAAACAACAUCGACACCAUGUGACUCACACAGGAAUAAACAAAAAUCAAGCAAGCAGGGAUGAAAACAUGCUUAAGAUCUUAAACAGUCAAAAUGAACAUUUCAAAUAUUAGGAAAGGAGUCAAAUAUGGUUGUGAAAAGGAAAAACCUGAAGUCGAAGACAACCAAAAUUUGGAUGACUCCUUUUCUCUCUGUGACUGAAAUCCCACCUUCUCGUUCUACUCCCUGAGCUGAGAACUCUCCUCUCAACUCCAAACUCACUCCAGACCAGCCUCUCUUCACUCUCCCCCUCCUCUCUGACUCUCUCUCUCUAGCUAAACUCCUCUAAGCCUUCCCUCCUCCUCAAAAUAUCUCUAACGGACUCUGAAAAGCACUCCCUACUCCAGCUGCCAGAGACGCUCCUCCAUUCACGGCUUCCAGAUUCCCAUGCAACGUGUCCCCUUUUGAUUGGCUUCCCAAACCACUAUUAUGAUUCUCUCAUGGCUUCUCAGGUGUUGACACGUGGCUGACCAAGGCUCUUCCACAUGGUAAAAUUGAGCUGCAAGGUAGGAAUGACCUAAAAGGGGGUCUACACAUGUCUUCGUAUAUCUUUAUCCAAUUUAAAUAGUUUUUAUAUAUUUAUCUUUAUCCAAUAACUUUUUCCUCCCCUAACCCAAAAUAUUUAUAAUGAUAUUCUUAAUAAUUUUUUUAUUAUAUAUAAAAAAGUCUAAUAUUACAAUAAUAUAUUAAGAGUCCUCGCUCAAUUACAAUACUUAAUUUUUUUCUAAGCAAUUAAUUCUCUAUUCCUCUGAUUUUUUUUUGCUUUUAACUACCAUUGGGCAAUUACAUUUUUAAAUACAAUUUUCAAAGUACACGUUUAUCAUAAUUAUAUCUUUAUCCAAUUUAAAUAGUUUUUAUAUAUUUAUCUUUAUCCGAUAACUUUUUCCUCCCCUAACCUAAAAUAUUUAUAAUGAUAUUCUUAACAUUUUUUUUAUUAUAUAUAAAAAAAUAUAAUAUUACAAUAAUAUAUUAAAAGUCCUCAACUCAAUUACAAUACUUGUUUUUUUUCUAAGCAAUUAAUUCUCUAUUCUUCCGAUUUUUUUUUGCUUUUAACUACCAUUGGGCAAUUACAUUUUUAAAUACAAAUUUCAAAGUACACAUUUAUCAUAAUUAUAUCUUUAUCCAAUUUAAAUAGUUUUUAUAUAUUUAUCUUUAUCCAAUAACUUUUUCCUCCCCUAACCUAAAAUAUUUAUAAUGAUAUUCUUAACAAAUUUUUUUAUUAUAUAUAAAAAAAUCUAAUAUUACAAUAAUAUAUUAAGAGUCCUCGCUUCCUUCCAAUUUUUUUUUUGCUUUUAACUACCAUUGGACAAUUACAUUUUUAAAUACGAAUUUCAAAGUACACGUUUAUCAUAAUCCUGUUAAGAAAUAUAAAGAUAUAUCUUUAUCCAAUUUAAAUAGUUUUAUAUAUUUAUCUCUAUCUGGUAAUUUUUUCCUCUCCUAAUUUAAAAUAUUUAUAAUGAUAUUCUUAACAAUUUCUUUAUUGUAUAUAAGAAAAAAUUAAUAUUAUAAUAAUAUAUCAACUGUACUCGCUCCAUUACAAUACUUAAUUGUUUUCUAAGCAAUUAAUUCUCUAUUCUUCCAAUUUUUUUUGCUUUUAACUACCAUUGGAGAAUUACGUUUUUAAAUACAAAUUUCAAAGUAUACGGUUUAUCAUAAUCUUGUUAAAAAAUACAAAACAUGUUCUUUAUCCAAUUUAAAUAGUUUUUAUAUAUUUAUCUCUAUUUGGUAAUUUUUUCCCCUCCUAAUCUAAAAUAUUUAUAAUGAUAUUCUUAACAAUUUCUUUAUUGUAUAUAAGAAAAUUUUAAUAUUAUAAUAAUAUAUCAACCGUCGCUCCAUUACAAUACUUAAUUUUUUUCUAAGCAAUUAAUUCUCCAUUCUUCCGAUUUUUUUUUUGCUUUUAACUAGCAUUGAGCAAUUACAUUUUUAAAUACAAAUUUCAAAGUAUAUGUUUAUCAUAAUCUUGUUAAGAAAUACAAAACAUGUCUUGGUAUAUCUUUAUCCACUUUAUAUAGUUUUUAUAUAUUUAUUUCUAUUUGAUAAUUUUUUCCUCUUCUAAUCUAAAAUAUUUAUAAUGAUAUUCUUAACAAUUUCUUUAUUGUAUAUAAGAAAAAUCUAAUAUUAUAAUAAUAUAUCAAAGUCCUUGCUCCAUUACAAUACUUAAUUUUUUUCUAAGCAAUUAAUUAUAUAUUCUUCCAAAUUUUCUUUUCUUUUUUUCUUUUAACUACCAUUGGACAAUUACAAUUUUAAAUACAAAUUUCAAAGUACACAUUUAUCAUAAUCCUAUUAAGAAAUACAAAACAUGUCAUAUAUGUUGUCUCUCAUUUUAAUAUUUGAUAUUAAAAUCAUAUUUAUAAUAAUUGAUUAAUAACAUGAAAAGGAUGUAUUCUAGAAGUCCUAAAAUUCAUUAUUAUCACAUAAAAUAAAUAUAAAUUUAAACUCCAAUUUUUGAAAAAUGAUAUUACAAAAUUAUGAUUUAGAGCUACGAUUGGAUGAUAAUUUUGCAAAAAUUUGUGGAGUAAGAGAUAAUUAUGAGUGUAAACAACUCGUGGAUUUGUAUUUGGAUUUGGAUUCAUCAUAUAUUUAUAUUUUUAGGGUUUUGAUAAAACCCUAAAAAUAUUUUGACUCCGAUUUAAUUAUCUUAAAUUGGUUGGACCUGAAAAUAAAUUGAGAAAUAGGCAGGAAUAGAAAAAUACAAGGCAAAGACGAGCUGUCCCAGUGGCGUGGAAAAAACUUCUUAACUUCUCUGAAUAACUGCCAAAUAUCACGAAGGCCCCAACAAACAUACUAUUAUUACGCACUUUGCUGUUGCAGAGUCGCACCUAAAUUCCUCUCAAAUUCCUGCUUCCUCCACCAAUGGCCACUCUCUCUGCCUUCUCUACUCCUUCUCCUCCAUGGCCAAAUCCUAACCCUAGCUCUGACCCUAACCCUAACGCUAAGUCAGACUUGCCUGAUCAUGAGGAGCGGUCGCAGAGAACCGAACUGGAGGAUGUCGAUUCGCCGCCGAAUUCUCGUCCUACUCAAAACUUUAACCCUAACAUCCAGGAUGGUCGUCUGUCUCCAUCGUCGGUUCCGUCUCUUCUCCACAUCUCGUUCAACCAAGACUACGGAUGCUUCGCGACGGGUACAGAUAGGGGGUUUCGCGUCUAUACGUGUGACCCCUUCCGUGAGAUAUUCCGGCGAGAUUUGGACCGCGGCGGGGGGAUUGGGGUUGUUGAAAUGCGGUUAGUGUCUAAUUUGAUGGCCUUGGUGGGCGGGGGCUCCGACCCUCAGUACCCGCUCAACAAGGUCAUGAUCUGGGACGAUUAUGAGAGUCGGUGCAUUGGCGAGCUCUCGUUUCGGUCGGAGGUUCGAGCAGUUCGUCUCCAGUUGGACCGGAUUGUGGUGGUGUUGGAGCAGAAGAUUUUCGUGUACAAUUUCGCGGACUUGAAGCUUUUGCAUCAGAUGGAGACGAUUGCGAAUCCGAAGGGGCUUUGCGCGGUUUCGCAGGUGGCUGGGUCUAUUGUGCUGGUGUGUCCCGGGUUGCAGAAGGGGCAGGUUAGGGUUGAACACUACGCGUCUAAAAGGACCAAGUUCAUCGCGGCCCAUGAAUCCAGAAUUGCGAGUUUUGCGCUCUCAAUGGACGGGCAGUUGCUUGCGACUGCAAGCUCUAAGGGGACUCUGGUCAGGAUUUACAACACAAUGGAUGGGGUAUUGCUCCAAGAGGUACGUAAUAGUUUUUCUCAUUCAGUGGAAAUUCUGAACUUUUAGUGGAUCAUAUGAAAUAGAGCAUCAAAUUUCUCGUUGAAAUGCAAUCUCUUGUUGAAUAUAGCUAUGGAUUUAUGAAAUUUGGUUGAUUUUGUGUGUGGAACUUGGUGGUUUGGAAAUUUCUUAAUUGCAUAAUUGUGGAUGCCCCGUGUAUGCCUCUCUUAGCAUGCCCUCAAAGCCUAAAUGAGAUUCUAGAACUGGGGAUUGAUAUGGUUGAAAUUUUAGUCUUCAGAAUUAUUUUCAUUUCAUAUUAUUUUGAAUUGACAUUGGUGCCUACAUUUUGAGGUGUGACAAAAUUAUCAUCACUCUUAAUUGAGCAAAUAUGUCUUCACAUGCAUAACCCAGCAUGCUGUAAUUGCUCAUAGAUCCUCUGGAAAGAUUGGGAAAUUUUACAUUGCAAUUCAAUCUGCUGCGCAAUUAAGAAACGUUAGGCUCAGUCCUUUGAAGCUGUCAAGCCAAAUAUGUCAGCUGAAUCUGGCCUAAGCUGAACCGGGAAACCUAAGUGGGUUACAGUGAAUUUACUUCUGAGGUGCCAAGUUACCAUGUUUGGGAGAGAAAAUAUGAACUAUUUGUUAGUUCCUCUACUCAUUUGUUGACUAAUUUUUUUUAUAGGUACUUUCCCCUUCUUUGGUCCCCAGUGUGGGACUUGAACUUGGAACCUCCCACAACCCCACCCCAAACCUUUAUGCUGUUGCAUUGUCCCUGCUGUACUAUUGGGUCAGAUUGCUUUUCAAAGCAGGGCCAGGAUGGACUUGCGUGAAGCCCUGGAUGCAGGCUUGCUGCACUUUGGGCUUGUCUAAAGAAAGAAAUAAAGUAGAACAAAUGUGAUCUUUAAGUAUAAGUAGCCUUAGCUCAGUGGCAACUAAACAGGUUGGAUUUUUUUUUAUCGUCAUUUCAAUUCCUUACACCUACAAUAUGAAGUAGGCAUUAUCUGGUCUCAGGCUGCACAUUGUGCUGAGGCAUGCCCAUACAAAGAUGCAGGUAGAGUUAUGGUCUGAAGAUUUGGGCUGAGUUUUUGUGUCUUCAGGCCAAUUUACAAUCACUAAACUCAUGCAGAACAAUUCAUGGAAAAGGAAACAGAGAAUCGAGGAGAGGUUAUCACUAUACUGCCUGUGUCAUUGACCAUAGGAGGUUUGUUUUGUUCUAUGUUCAUUAAACUUUGAUGACAUUUUUUGUUCUAUGUGGAAUAUCAUGAAAAUGUGGAUUUCUAAAGCAAGAUGUUAGUCUCCAUUUCGAACCAUUACCUCUAAUGCACUGUAUCUGAUCAUGGUUUUAUCACAUGUCAUCCAUGUAAUGAAUCAACUGGGCUUGUCCAGUAUUCUUGAGACAAUUGAUCUACAUAAUCUGUUGCUUAAUUAAUUUGGGGAAUCUACAUAAAUCAAUUCCUGCAUUAGGAAAUGUAAGAUUUUUCUUUUUGGUUUUUUUUUGGGGUUUUAAAGAUAAGAAUGUCUCUACAUGCUCCUUCUGGUCUUGCCAAGUGGGGAACUUUUCUUGUUUCUGCUGGGAAUCCAAAUUUACAAUUAUUUUAUCCUGAACUACUUGUAUUCAUGUUUGUUUAUGCUUUUGAGUUCAUAGCAUUGUAGAUAUAUUGCAAAUAACUGGAUAUCUAAUGCAGUUACGAAGGGGUGCUGACAGAGCAGAGAUCUAUAGUAUGGCAUUCUCUUCAACUGCACAGUGGCUGGUAGUCUCAAGUGACAAGGGCACUGUCCAUGUUUUCAGCCUUAAGGUUAAUUUAGCAUCCCCUGGGAAUGACAAGUCACGUGGUGCAUCUAAUUCCAAUCUGGCAGUAGCAUCAUCCACCUCAUCACUCUCUUUCAUCAAGGGUAAGGCACCUUUUCUUCAGUGUAUAGUUGUCUCAGUGAUAUGCAAGUUCUUACCAAAUUAGUGAUCUUGUGAAAUGAAACUCUCACUUUUUUGUCCCUCAAUACUUUUGAUUUGUGAUUUUCUGUCCCUUGUUUUUUACGCUUUUUUUAUGCAAUUGUUUUUCUUUGCUUCCCCUGCAUCUGUCAUUACUUGUUGCUUACUAGGAAGUAAUGAUGGAGAGUUGAUGAGCAAGACCCCAAGAACAAGAUGCAUUAGACAAUGUCAAUGUAUUGACUGUUGAAGGCUAAUAAUAAAUUGUGUCUUUGGCUUAGAACUUACUUGAAUUCUUACUUACAGGAGUAUUGCCCAAGUAUUUUAGCUCAGAGUGGUCAGUGGCUCAGUUUCGCUUGCCUGAAGGUUCUCAAUACAUUGUUGCUUUUGGUCACCAGAAGAAUACUGUGGUAAUUCUUGGAAUGGAUGGAAGGUAAGUGAGCACCAAGCUCAAAGAGGACAAACUUUAUGUAAUCCAAUAUAACUGCUUGUUACUUUGAAAUUUUCCUAUUGGCAUGCUCAAUUUUGACUUUUUAGAAAGUAUACACAUAUAUUCACCAGACUAUCAUCUGGGCUGUGGUUGGAGGGAAGAGUGGCUUCUACUGAACAACAAGCGUUUUUCAAGUUGCUUGUUGAUCAGGAGAGAGCUGCAGACCAUACAUCACAUGCAGUCAUCAGUCUUAGUAAGCUAUUCAUUGUAGAAACAUCUCCUUCUUUCUAGCAUAGGUUAAAACAUUGCAUCUGGAAGGUUGCAUGAGACAUUUUCUUUGACCACUAUAUUUUUAUUUCCCUGAUUCUUCUUUGCCUGCAACCCAUGUUUUUGCCUCUCUCUCUUCCCUCCAUCAGCCCAUGUUUCUUUUUCUUUUUUGUUUCACAUUCAUCAUAACGUUUUCUGUUAGAAAAGAAACUGGAAAUAAAAUUGUUGAUAUUCACUUGAAUUUGAAUGAUUGAAUGCAGCUUCUAUCGAUGUCAGUUCGAUGCAGUGAGCGGUGGAGAGAUGAUUCAGCUGGAGUACCACAACUUCCUUAAACCUGAAAAUACUAUGUAAUAGGGGCUUGGGUUACUUGUACGUUCUAUUUCUGGGCUAUGUAUAUAACAUUCCCUUUAUGGUUUUUAUCUUGCAUUUUACCCUUACCUAUGGAUGGCUACACAAAUCUAUUGUAAGUAUCUCAGUGUAGAUGGGUCACAAUCUAUAUAUACUGAUUAUAGUCAAUAUGAAAACAAAUUAAAGCAAACUUGUGUAGCAACUGUCUUCAUCCUAUUCAUAGUUUAAUUUCUUCUUUUCUGUGAGAUCUGAGUAGUGGCAUGUGAGAUAACAGCGUGUAAAGUUUCAUUCCAGCCUAGCACACUCUUCUUCAACUUCACCUUAUCUUCUCUUCUUCUUCAGUUUUGAUUUAUUUUUAAUUUAAUAAAAUAAUUGUUUAAUGUAUCAUUCAGGGUUCGGUUGUACAUUUUUUUUUUUAAAGAAAAAAAUGUUUAAGUGAGGGAAUACCAAUGGCAGAGUCCUAAAAUAGCUAGUGACAAGGCUCAGACUUCAAGUCCUCUGUGCUUCCCCAUGCCUUUUAUUUCCCUUUGUAUAUUGGAAAUAUAGCCCCCAAAAAAUCAAAUAUUAAAUGAGGAAGAUAAGAAAGAUGACUUAUCGUAGUAACACAAUGUGACAGAAGGAACUAGUAAAAUAUAAAUUUACUAACUAAAUAAACUAGAUGCCAUGUGUCAAAAAAAUAUUAUAGAUUUUGAAAUUGUUUAUCAGAGAUCUCAUUUCAAAAAAAAAAUUUUUUUUAAGUUAGUGAAUUUCUUCUUUUUUGCAUUUUUUUUUCUUUUUUUUUUUUUAUAAAAAAAAUCCCUCAUUUUUUGCCCUUGGAACUUCAAUCUUGCUUGGUUAGCUUAAUUCAAUGGUUUAGGGGUCAGAAAGAGGUGGUGACCAACCUGCAAAUACCACCCAACAAUGCAAUUAUGCAAGAAGAAGGGUCUGAAAGCCUGAAAGCUUGUUUGAUGAUAAACCCCAAAAAAGCUUUGGAAUACAAAGAGUGUUGGGGACAAGAAAUGAGAACGCAUCUCAAGAUGAAAUCUAAGGUCUCCAAAUUUGGUGCACUGAAAACUGUGAUUUUGACUGACUCACCUCUGACUUUUCUUUCUGCAGCAGCUUUGCCCCCAUCCACCCACCCACCCACAUGCCUACCUCCAUCGUCACACCCCACACACCCCCCCUCUAUACACCAUUUUCAUCACGCAAUCAUAGCUUCUUUUCCUUCCCUGAUAUCCCACAAUCAUCAGAUUCAUCACUCUACCUUGGACCACACACCCCUCCCAAGUAAUACAACUUUUUUUUCCCUUUUUACCCCUAUGAAUAGUCAAAGAAUUUAAUUGUAUGUCACAGACUCACAAUCAGCCAUACAGCUCCAAUGUUUCAGAGAGAAAGAAAAAAAAAAAAAAAAAAAGUACAUGGGUGGAGUGUAGCAUUGGGCCUCUUACAUAGACCAUGUGAUACUGAGUCAUAUUUACCUGACCAAAUGUAUAAAAUAAUUAACAAUCCAGAUUCACAUGGCAUAUAUAGAAAUGAAAAUGGCCCCAUUCAUAAUGUUCCUCUGAAAUUUCAUGAUACCAAUGGUGGGUCAAUAUCUGACCACUAAUUGGGGAUUUAAAACUAAUCUUCUGCCAUUAAUUUACAUCUCCAAUGAAUAAACAACUCUCAUUUUAUCAAAAAGUUUUAUUAUAUCAACUCGAAUAAUUAAAAUCCAUCAACUCUAAAUUAUUUUUUUUUAAAAGAAAAAUAAUUUGAGUGUAUGAAAUUAUUUUUUUAAAUUACAAAUUGAAUUGGUAAUUUACCAAUUCAUUUCCAUUAUAGUUAUGAAUAAAUCAUUUCGUAUACCACUAAAUAAACCCAUGAUCUAAGCCUUGAUUUAAAAAAAAAAAAUUCUAAAGUUGGUAGUGUAUACACAUUCAAAUAUAAUCUAUAUUUUUUUUUUACUUUGAUGCAAUUUAAGAAACAAUUUUUUUUUUCCAAAUAUCAAAACUAUUUUUAUUUUUCAUAAUCUAUAUUUUAAAUUAAUUAAGACUUUAAUUAUAAUUAUUUUUGAAAGUUGAUUCUUCUUUCUUUUUCGCAAAGCUCACAAGAGCAUAUAAUUUGAAAAAUAGAAAAAAUAAAAAAGAAGAAGAAAAACAAGGAAUGUUCUUAAUGAAUUUGUGUAGAAAAUUAUUUUAUAUUCAAUAAAAUUUUAAAAAUACUAAAAUAUUUAAACUUUGUUUCCAACUUCUAAAAAAAAUAAAAGAUGUGAUUACAACAUUGAAAAAUGCUUUCUCGAUUUCUAUUGAAAAAAUAGUAUGAAUUAAAUGGUGUCAAAUAUAUAUUUUUAUGUAUUCUUAUUUAAUCUAAGUCCAUAUUUUUUUGUUCAAUAUUAAGCUACAUUACCUUUUCAUUGUCCAAAAAUUAUUGCAAGCAAGAAUAGUAUUUACCUGUGCCUUUUCUUCUUCAUGAAUUCAAUGUGAACAGUAGAGAAGUCCUUUCUAAAGGAGCGGGGCAAGUUGAUUGAAACAAGAGAAUCGAGGUGGACAGCAACUACACGAAACACCACUGCAUAAGAAGCCAACAAACUAGUAUAUAAAGCCCACCAUACCCUCUUCAUUUGCAGUACCACCUCACCAUCCUCCAUUCAUAUUGCCCAUUUUCACCCACCUCUUUCUCUCUCUUUUUCUAUUUUUUCUCACCUACCCUCCUUCUCUUUCUCUCUGCCUCUCAGUUUCUCAGUCUUUCAAUGGCGCUCAAGCUCCAUGGAAUUCCCAUGUCCACAUGCACCACUCGUGUCCUCACCUGUCUCCAUGAGAAAGGCUUGGAUUUUGAGCUUGUCCCUGUUAAUCUCUUUGCAGGUGAACAUAAGCAGCCUCCUUUUCUUGCCAAGAAUGUGAGUCUCACUUCCCUCUUUCUUUCUAAUCAUCCCUCUUUAUUCUCUUUGAAGAUUUUACUUUUCUUUGGGGUUGUAUAAAUUAUGAUUUUCCUUGGUUUGGGUACAUUGUUUUUAGUGUGCAGUCUUGUCGAUUUGAUUUUGGUCUUGGUUUUGUUAUACAUAUAUGCAGCCCUUUGGACAGAUUCCAGUUCUGGAAGAUGGCGAUCUCACUCUUUUUGGUAAGUCCUCGGUUUUAAUCACUUUCCUCAUAAAAGCUUGAAAUUUGUUGUACUGUACUACCAUCAGGAUUGACAGUUCCUGAGAUUUAUUAGCUGCUUGCUUUUGAACAAAAUUUUGCUUUAAAAAAUUAAAGGAGUUUUUCUUACAAAAUCAUGCUAUUUAGUACAACAUACGAGCUGGGUCUAUGAUACUAUUAAGUAUACUAUUGCCCCAGCCUUACUGAAAAUCCCUAGUCGAUGAAGUUGGGUUACUGAAAUUAUGUAUAUGUACCAGAAUCUAGGGCAAUAACAGCAUAUUUGGCCGAGAAAUACAAGGAAACGGGGUGUGAUCUCUUGAGGCACAAUGACCUCAAAGAAGCUGCAUUGGUGAAGGUGUGGUUGGAGGUUGAAUCCCAACAAUAUCAUCCGGCAAUAUACCAGAUUGUGUACCAGUUCUUCGUGUUGCCUCUACAAGGCAAGACGGCCGAUCAGGCCAUUAUUGAUGUAAAUCUGGAGAAGUUGGGUAAGGUUCUGGAUGUGUAUGAGGCCAGGCUGGGCACCACAAAGUGCCUAGCAGGAGAUUUCUACAGCUUGGCUGAUCUUCACCACCUUUCUUACACUUACUAUUUCAUGAAGACGCCAUGGGCUUCCCUCAUAAACAGCCGUCCCAAUGUGAAGGCAUGGUGGGAGGACAUUUCCUCAAGGCCAGCUUUCAAGAAAGUGGCUGAAGGCAUGACUUUUGGUGAGAAGUGAUCGGUUUCUGAGCAGUGUGGCUCUAUGUUUUGGGGUAAUAUUAAUUGUAGUGGUUGCUGCCUCUUAAUUACGUGUAUUUAAGUGUGAGACCACGUAAUAAUUACUGAUUAUGUGUUAUGAUUUGCCCUAAAUUAAUCAGAAAUGUGGAAUUAUCUGGGGUUUCUCAUUGUGGUAAUUAAUCUGCUUGCAACCAGUUUUUGAAAGGGUUUGAUGCAUUUUUACUCCAUACUUUGCUUUAGCUAGGGUUAUGUUGGUGUCUCUAAGGCAUAAUGCUUCCAUUUUUGAGUCAUUGCAUACUCAGAUCAAAGUUUUCAAGACUUGUAGAAAAUGGGUUUUGGUAUUUUCAUGAAAGAGAAUGAAAGGGCAAAUUUCUUCACAAGGCAUGUAGUAAGGGUUUUCCCUUUCAAUCAGUCUUUUUCCUGAGAAACAAACAGAAUGUAUAUCAUGCCGUGUCAUCCACUGUGACAGUUUUCCUCUGAAGAGUUUUACUGCAGUACUUCCUAUUUAUUCCCAUUUUUACUUCCCAAACGAGGUAAACACGUACUGUACUGCAGCUCUGGUUAUUUUCAUCAUCCUUGCUUGUCCAAAGCAGCUUCACUCUUUGAACCUAUUUUUAUUGUUAUAUAUAUAUAUAUAUUAGGUCAAAUUAAUCUUCCAAUUUUCUAACUCUAAGCCCUUGCAAAGAGUUUUUGUAGUAUCAUAUGUAUCUACUAUCAGUCAAGCAGAAACUGGAUAAUGUUCUAUAUACGCUUCAAUAAUUAUGGAUCCAGCAAAGGAGAUCUUUUGUUAUGCUACGGGUCUCUACUAAAAUCUGAGGCUGGAACCCACUUCAAUUAUUCACUCAUUUUGUUCUCAUAGAACCUUCAGCCAUGUGACCCUCACCCUCCAACUAACUUUCAACCACAUCUACCACCUUUCUUUCCUUUUUAUUUUUAUUUUUUAGUUUUGACCUAAUUCCAUCUAACUCUCAAAAUGUAUUCUAAAUCAUGCAUCACAGUCUCAAAAUAUAUGUAGGCCCUUCUCUCUAGAUUCUUGAUUCUAUAGUCUUGUACAACCCAAAUUUCUUAGACUCUAGUCUGAAUAAGCUUGAUAGACAUGAUUGUGCUUAUUAUUUAAUAAUUUAAGUUUUUCUUAUAGUAAUUAAUAGUUUAAUAUGAUAUAAUAAAAUUUCUUAUCUUAAUUAAUUUGUAAAAUUAUCUAGAUGAGAUAAAUAGAUAGUCCUAAUUUUUAACUCCAAAAAUUGAUUUUUUUUCUCAAUUAUAAAUUUUCUUAAUCCAAUGCGAGAUUCAAAUAUCAAAAUAAUAGCUAGUUUCAUAAGACACUUGAUGUAUGUGGAAAACCAUCAACAAUCAUGGGUUUGCAAAACAAAGUAAUUACUAAAUCUAAAAGAAUAAGUACACAAUUUUUAUCAAAAUUUGAUACUAUCUUCUCCCAAGGGUCUUAUGUUGGCACAUAUUUACACUUGUUUUCAUGUUUGAGAUGCAACACCUUAUACCCUUUAGGAAACUCCUCAACUACUUGAUAACAUAUAAUCAACCAUUAUGAUUUGAUCUCAAAUAAGAGUUAAGCGAUUGAAAAUGUAUGUGUAGUGAGUUUGAAAUGAGAAUGAUAGAGAAAUUGAACUUUUUCAUUAGACUUUAAAUGAAGCCAUUAAGGAAGAGAUCCACUCCCAAGAUUAAUUCAAGAUGGGGAUAUAAAAAUGGUAUCUUACCAUAAUGACGUCAUCCAUCAAACUUUAUAUGAAGAAGAUAAAUCCAUUGGUUGAACUCUUUAUAGAGGAAUAAUUGACUCUUUAUCAUUAAACAAUAUAUGUUUGUUUUCAACUUGCAAAGAAUCUUAUUCUAGUGCUAUUAAAAAAAUUCUUAAAUAUUUAAAAAGAAUAAUUAAACUAUGUUUGUGAUAUCAUGCAUACUAACUUUGAUCUAAUUAACUAAUUAAAAGUGGAUUUUCCGUUUGUAAAAGUAAUGGAAAUGUAUUAGUGGUACUUAUAAUGUUUGUUUUCAAUCUUACAAAGAAUCUUAUUUUAGUGCUAUUAAAAAUAUUCUUAAAUAUUUAAAAAGAAUAAUUAAACCACGUUUGUGGUAUCAUGCAUACUAACUUUGAUCUAAUUAACUAAUUAAAAAUGGGUUGUUCCAUUUGUAAAAGUAAUGGAAACGUAUUAGUGGUACUUCUAACUUUCUAGGCCACUCACUAGGUUUUGACAUAGUGAUCGAACCUUUGAUCAAUUGAGUUGUCGUGUGCGAUAUAUUUCAUAAUGACUAAUUGAUGCAUGGUGGUUUAGACUUAGUCUUAAUUGGUUGAGGACUUGUUGAUCAGAUGUUAAUCGAUUAAGGUUCUUGCACCUUAAUGAUUACCUCCAAGUGUACUUUUAUUUAAUAGCAUGUUUCUUAGUCCAUCGCCUAAUCCACUAAUUCAGCUAAAAAUGUGCCUAAGGGCUAGUUUCACUCUAGAACUCUUAUUUAAAACUUUCCAACCUUGAGCAAUCAUUGUAGCAAUUUAUUGAAUGGUUCUCUAGAAUACUCUUAUUCCCAAACUCGCAAGUCUCAUUUAGUCUACCUUAAUCUUAGUUUAUUUAUAUAUUUGAUCCUGAAUUUUGCAAACUAGAAAGCUUACUUUAAGAAAUUCACUCUUGUAUUCAUGAAAGAGUAUACUGAAAUGUAAGGGAUCACUUGAGGGCAUUGCAAAGGCAUAUUGGAAGCUUAAAUAUAAGUGUAAAAAAAUUAAAAGCAAAAUCUUAGCACUAGUGAAUGGACCUCAAGCUUAGAUUGAUGAAAGAGAGAGUGGAUAUAGGAGUUAUAGAACCAUUAUAAGUACUUUAUUGCAUCACUCUAUCCCUAUCUCUAUUAAUUUACUUGCACUAUAUUAAUUUUUAUAAUUUGCUUUUUAAUUUUCUAAAUUUUGCAAAAGAACUAACACCGAAUUCUCCUCCCCUCUUGGGUGUCUUCCUCAAGUGAACUCAACUAAUUUGCUUUUCAAUUUUCUAAAAUCAUGAAUCAAUGUAUCAUAAAGCAAAUCCACUAAUUUAAAAAGAAUUAAUACACGGUUUUACCUUAACCAUAUGUUAUCUUCCCCUAAUAAUCUUACACCAAUCAACACAUCCAUUUGUUUUCACGUUUGCAAUGCAAUAUAUGCUCCUUAGUAAACUCCUUAGCAAUUUGAGAUAAUACAAUCAACCAUCAUAAUUUAUCCUUUAAUUAAAGUUAAGUUUUCAGGAAUAUUGGAAACACACAUGAGAAUAACGACAAUUAUUUUCGAGAGCAUGUUGUUUUUUCAAUAUAAGGAGAAAAUCUUACUAAGUCUAUCCAAAUACAUUAAUUGAAAAAAAUAUAGAAUUAGAAAAUCAUGAAAAAAAAAAAACAAAUGGGUCCAAGGUAAACCGAUGUACUCCAUUUUGUCAUGAAUAUUCACUAAAAAUUACUCAACCGUACACAAGCUUGACACACAACAUUUCCCCACUACGUAAUAGCCAUUAAAUCAAAUGAAAAAUAAAAUCUCCAACGUUAAAUUAAGUUGACACCGUGUGCAUCCCUGGUUUCAUAAUGCAGAGUGAGAUGAAACAGAAUCGAUGCACAAGUACUGGGAAAUAAAAUUACCCAUCACGAGUCUAGAAAAUGGGUUCUGAUAUUUUCACAUAAGACAAUGUUGGAGGAUUCUAGGAAAAGAAAGAGAAUGCGGGAAAGGGAAAAUUCUUCACAUGCCUACAGCAUUUACGGCAUAAAGAACGUUUUCUUUCUCAAAGCAUGUGAUCUUUUUCCUGAGAACCAAACAGAUGGCAAAAGCAAGUUCCUGCUUGUCCAAAAAAACCCUGUACUCAUUGGACUAACAAAGCCUGAAUUAAAUAUGGGCCAUUUCGUACCUUCACCAUGGCCCAUUUCUUGUGAUGUUCUUUUGAAUAAAUUUAAGAAAUUACUGUUAGAAAUCAAAUAGAUUGAAUAAAUAUUUUAAUUUAUAAAAAAAUCAUCUUAAAUAAAUAACAAAUAAUAAAUAGGAGAAGGAAAAGAGAAAGUACGUAUAUUUGCAAUGUUACAUUACCUCACCUUAUCGUUUUCCAAAACUUAUAGUAAGCAAGAAUUGGAUUUACUUCUGCCUUCUAUUCUUCAUCAAUACAAUAUGAACGGUAGAGAAGUCCCUUGUUCUAAAGGAGCCGGGCAAGUCGAUUGAAACAAGCGAAUCGAGGUGGCCUGCAACUACCCUAAACAACACUGCAUAAGAAGCCAACAAACUAGUAUAUAACGCCCACCAUACCCUCUUCAUUUUCAGUACCACCUCACCAUCCUCCAUUCAUAUCGCCCAUUUUCACCCACCUCUUUCUCUCUCUCUCUCUCUCUCUCACUCUCUCAGUUUCUCAGUCUUUCAAUGGCGCUCAAGCUCCAUGGAAUUCCCAUGUCCACUUGCACCACUCGUGUCCUCACCUGUCUCCAUGAGAAAGGCUUGGAUUUUGAGCUUGUCCCUGUUAAUCUCUUUGCAGGUGAACAUAAGCAGCCUCCUUUUCUUGCCAAGAAUGUGAGUCUCACUUUCUUCUUUCUUUCUAAUCAUCUCUCUUUCUUCUCUCUGUAGAUUUUGCUUUCUUUGGGGUUGUAUAAAUUAUGAUUUUCCUUGGUUUGGGUACAUUGUUUUUAAUGUACAGUCUCGUCGAUUUGAUUUUGGUCUUGGUUUUGUUAUACAUAUAUGCAGCCC
rnacentral:lncRNA from 1 species